GGAGUGCUGCAUAGACGGAGAUCUUCAUGAGUUGGGUUUUGUUUUGUGCCCAGACCGAGCGUGGAUUGAUAACGUAUGCUAGUAAGAAUCGCUUGUGAUGUAACACCAGUUCCUGAAGUCAGAGUGAGAAGCGUUAGCACAAGCAGUGGCGUUUGUUUGUUUGGCUGAAAAGAAGGACUGAAGCUGUUCCGGGAUUUCAUCAUACCUUCUGGAAACCAAGUGUAUUCUGUGAAGUCUGAUAAAAAGAAACUGACACCUGUUAGGCCAUGAAGCACAAGCAGUAUCAGAAGAAAAUUCCAAAGUAGCCAUGCAAAGUAGCCAUGAGUAUUUUGUCCUGAACUGACUAACACUCAGAUGUUAUCUGAAUGUUGGAAGAAACCAUUUAAAAGAAAAAUCUUUACAAGCAAUUAUGCAUGCUGAUGCAAUCUACAUAGCAUACAGAAGAUUAUGGAGCUACAGAGAGAACAGAAAUUGUGGAUUGAGAGUAGAGCAUUGUUUAAAACUUCAUGGAUUGUUACCUGCAUUUCAAGCUCUAAAAUGUGAACAAGAAGUCUACCUACUAGUAACUACCUUACUAUAAGAAUUCUUUCAUAAAUGGAUGCACCUGAGGAAGAGUCUGAAGAAGGAAGUAUGCUCAGAAGACAGAAUUAGAACCUAAAAAGAUACCAUGACUUAUAGAAGCCUGACUGUUAAGACUGAAUUACAGAUACUCAUACAAUUGAAAACAAAUAAGC